AAGAUCACGCACUCUGGCCCGGGCAACAGAGCAAGAUUCUGUCUCAACAACAACAACAAAAACAAAAAACAAAACAAAACCCUGGGGGUAUAUCUGAGGCCACCAGAAAGGGGCUCGGUGAAGGGAUGAGACAGAGUGGGAGACGGCAGUGCCUGGGUGAUGGGAGAGAGCAGGAGAGGGGGAUUAGGGGAACUGCUGCUGAUUUCAUAGGGAAGCAGCUGGGACGGGGCGGUGGAGUGAGAACUAGGAUUGUCCCAUACACAAUACAAUUGCAUAUUGGACACACAGCCCGUACCAUUCCUUAUUCUAUGAAAUCCACCGUCCUGGAGGGUGAAGUUGAAAGGCUGAUGACAUGAAGUCCAUCUGGGAUCGGGCAUGAUUCUGGGUGCCAAAUGGAGCACAGGUCCCUCCCUUCCCAGGGGGCCAGGCUGGCUCCUCAGCCAGGCUCAAGGUGUAGGGCGCUGGCCUUUGUUGGCCCUCACUGGGACCUGGCUGUCCCUGAGUGGGCGGACUUCUGAAGCCUAACUCUUCUGGAUCCCUUUGGCUGCAUCCUCUGUUCCUGGGCCACGUCCGUCUUUCAAAGGCUUCAACCUCUCACAGAUCUGGUCUAGAUCACGGACUUGCCCCAUAUGUCUUGACAGCUCCCCGAGCCUGUCUGAGCUUUUAUUCCCUUACCUGUUUAAUGAGAGUGCUGUGUGAGGGUCCACCGGGUAAUUUGAGUGAUGCCCUUGCCAUCUCUGUCCCCUGCGGGUCAUUCUGCCCAAAGGGGUGCAUAGCGUCAGGACCACCAACUCCUCCCAGAGCACUGAGGUCCCUGCUGCCUGGUUAGUGGGUCCCAGGGAAGCCAAGUGCAUUUGGAACGGUAUUCCCAUCUUGCACUUUCGGGACCCCCUCUGUGGUUCUGAGAGGAGGAAACAGCUCUAACCUUGGUGAUCUCGACUGUGCUGGGCCCUGGGUUGUGAGGCAAAUGGAGUGCAGAGGCCCUGGGGGAGGACGCGUCCCUCGCCACAGUCACUGCCCAGUGCAGUGGGCAGGGAAUUUCCCAGGGUGCACUGGGCCAAGGGGCCGGACUCUGAAGUCCGCGGGGUUGAGGUCUCCACGCCAACCAGGUGACGGCGGCCGCCUCGCCUCGCCCAGACAAGAAAGCUCGAUCUAAUCUCACUCUGAACUUUUCCCAAGGCUUUUGCUGCGCUUUGCUGUAGCUCCAAAGCUGCAUUAGCGAGCACCAGGCUCCUUUAUAAAUGGUCUGUGACCCCAGAGGUCUGCUCGCCGACGGAGCUGUCUAUUUUAGGGAUCGUGGGUGGAGGGGGCAUCUCAGAGGCUUCUGGAAAAUUCCUGACGGGAUUGUGUCUGUGUCCUGUCUCAACCCUCCAGUCGACAGAUCAGACAGCUUGUACUCACAGGCCAAGGACGCGUGGAAAGAGACUCAAUCUUCUAGAUGGUGGUAGCAGCCACGGCCUUCUGUCCUCUGGAUCCUCGCAAGCCUGGAUGAACUCAAGAUCUGACUCAGUGGCACAGUGAGGGGACCUUCGAGGCCUCAGUGACCAUCCUUGGACUUCACCUCUCAUGACUUUCAGGCAGAGAGGCCCUCCCAUGCCCACAAUAGGCCGAGCCCAGCCUUCCUUGGGAUUUGCCUCCAGGCCUGACUUUUACUUCCCUUUCUAAGUGUCUUGUCCUUCCAUCUUCCACCACGGGAUGACACAGCAAGAGGGUGCUUGCCAGACGAAGUCCUUCCGACUUUGGACUUCCCACCCCCCAGAACUGGCACUGGAUGAGCUGUGCUUGUUGAAACUGUUUCUGUAGCAUCAAGUACGAUAGAAACACAGCUUUCUAUGCACACCAGCUUGCUGGGGCCGUGCUGCUGGCGCCACAGAGCCGCACCCUGGUGAAUGUUUGAGGAGAAUGUGCAGGACCCCCUUGUGAGGUUCUGUGGAGGAUUCUUUAAUGCUUUCUCUGGACUGAAUUUAACAUUAUGUUGAUAAUGACUCAAAAGAAGGGUAUAGACAGGAAGACCAUGUAUAGCAAUAAGACUAAUGAUACUACUCAUAAAACAUUUUGUAAUUCAAAUGCAAUAUGACCACUGGAAAAAGUUGCAUUAAUUAUGUUUUUAUUUUCUGUAUUUUAUGAUGCCUUUGAGGACCCAGAGAGAGACUGCCUCUCCCAGGGUUUGCUAAUUCCUGGAGAUCACAAACAACUUGCCUGCCAGCAGGCCUUUGAUAUGCAAACCUACCAGGCUGGAGCUCCUUUGAUCAGGAUCCUGCAGUCUGGGACACUAUCUCGCUGCUCUGAUCACCCCAGGGCCAGGUGCUGGGCAGCUAGAGACUGCCUGUGUAGCCAGAGCCUGCUGGAAUCCUAAGCUACCCAGGCCUAAGCCUGCCCAGCCGCUCACCCUGCCUCCCCAUUGUUUUUCACCGCUCCCAAGAGUUUUGCUCAAGUUCUCCUCUCGCCCCCAUCCCUGACUGAGCCUGGUGCUUCUCCACGCGGCCCUGAGUGGGGUGGUGUGGACUCCACGUGGCCCUGAGUGGGGUGGUGUGGACCUGCCCCUUCUCUUGGGAGCUGUAACAAACUCUCUUUUCAAAGACAAUCAUCUCCUGAUCUGUUGGCCUUGUCGUGUCCAAUUAAAAUAAAUCCUGGGUACAUUUUAAAAUGAGAGUCAGUCACCUCCAAGCUUUCAAAAUUCCCAGAUUAUUCAGAAAUACGAACAGCAGGCUCAAGUCACUGGGAUUUGCAUCCUCAUUUUGCUAAUAGAUUUACGACCACAGAGAACUUAUUCUGUGAGCAGAGGAGUCACCUGGAGGGUGAAUGGCAUUUAAAACACACCAUGAUAAAGUCCUUGGACGGGAUGGUCAUGCCCUUAAUGUUUCCUAUGAGAGUUAACGCAAGAGAUCUGGAUGAAGAUGCUCUUCUGUGCUGCAUAUUUGCAAGACCGUUCAUUUGUGGCCCUGAAUGCAAGGUGGGAAUCACCUCUGCCUGGGAUGAGUUGGGAACGGAAGCGACGCCCUCUAGAUAAUCUUUUCUCAUAGACCUCUUGCUGGAGGUGCUCGGCCUCCCGACGCCCUUUCCUAUCGCAGUGAGCAAUACCUGGAUCUGUGUCAUGCAUGGGCUGUCCGCACUGUUUCACGGUAAAGCUUCUCGUCUUCCUUGCAAAAGGAUGGUGUAAAAGCUUUCGGGCCAGUUCACACCAGAGAGAGUCUAUGCUGGAUGCACUCCUGCUGCUAGAACAAUUUGACAACAGGAAAUGGUCAGCUGGUUUCUUAAGCUCCCGGGAGCUUGUGAGGGGAGUCCAGGAUCCCUCCUUCUGGAUUCAAGCACUAUGUCAAUUCACUUACACAAGAGAAAUGCCCAAGGAGAACAGGAGUGAUGCACUGAAACGUCACAGCAAACAAGGUAGUUGGUGCUUUCCCAUGUCUGCAGGCUGAUCCUAGUGGCCCUUAGGAGGAGAUGCUUGGUGGAUUCCGUAAGUGCCCGGUGAAGCUCUCCUGUUUCCAGGCAUAGCGUGCUGGGUCUGCCGGGGCAGGAGGGAUGGGUGGAGUGGAGGGAAACAGAAGUGGCCAUAUGACACUGUAUAUUUGUAUGAUACAUGCUGUAUGCCUAACAGUAGAACUUCUCUAGACCCUGAUUUCCUGAAUUUUGGGAGAAGCCAUAUUUCAAUUAUGUCUCAGUGUAGGUGACGUAGGGUGGUUGUAGGGAAAAACACAUGUUGAGAAUUGUCCCAGCAGGAUACUGACCUGCCCUCCCAGUAUCAGGCCUGCAUUGUCUCUGCACCGUAACUGCCCACACAUAUGGGGGUUUACCAAGUGAUUAGUUCCACCCAUGUGUCACCUCUUCCGUCCUGACAGUGACUGCGUCAGGGCUAUUACUACCCCGAUGGGCAUGGAGCCUCUCCCAGAGACUGAAUAACUUAUCUGCAGUAAGCACAGUGAGGGUCAGGGUAGGGACCUGAGCCUGGUCUGUCCUACACUGAAGCUCACACUCUUAAGCCAACCCGCAUUGCCCCAGUGGCCCCAUAUCUAGCCAAAAUUCACCACUGUUCCUUCUACACAGCAAGCAGGAGGGUCAAACUAAAAUAUUCGUUACAAUUUGUUACAGUUCCUUUCUGGAAGCAAUUUAGUUUCAAGCAUAUUUUCCUCUCGGCAGAGGCAGCCAUGGCUGGCCACUUCAUGUGCUCCUGGAGAAGGCUUGCACCAGCCGUUUUCAGGAAAGUCAAGCAGCUGUUGACUCCUGAGUCUGGGUGAAUUUGUGUGAAGAGCAUAAGGCACUGUUUCUUCACCAAAAUGCUUCCUCUUACAGUGCAGAUGGGGUGUGCUUCUCCACAGGAGGCCCCAUGGCUUCCCCACGUCUCAGAGGAGCGUGGUGCAUCUGUGUGGAGGUUUCGCAGCUCCUGCAGGCUGCCCUUGGUCCUGUUUGGCGACGCCUGCUUUCCCCUUAGUUAUACAGUCAUGAGCCGCCCUGGAAUCACGGCAGCUCCAGAUGGAGCCUGGAUGCCAGAAUGCAGCCCUAGCUCGGGGCCUCAGGACAGGAGUGAGCACGGGGCUGCAGAGCCGGUGGCCACGGUGGGCACCAUGGAGGGGGCUGCCCUGGGCAGCAGGGGCAUGGGUCUCAAGGCCCAGGUUUGAGUAACAGGCGCUGAGAGCUUACUUACUUUCCCUGAGACACAGUUUCCUCAUCUCGAGAGCACGGAAAAUCAUUCCAAUUUCAGAGGAUUCUUGUGAAAGUUAAAUGAGAUUAAAGAGGUAAAGCCCAUAAUGUGCUUAGCUCAUGCUUGGCUCUCAGUCAAUGCCAGUUAGUGCUGCAGUUUCUCCCCUCUCCCUCCCUCCUUCUCUCCUUCUUCUGUUCUCCAUUUCUAUUUUCUCCCCCACCCCACUCCCCAAAGCUCUGCUUUGAGAACCAGAUGCCGUCUGGUGGGUUAGCGUCAGAGGAGGAAAAGCUGCCUGCCUUGGGCUGCGCCCAUACGCUCUUCAGUCCAAUGACAUGUGGGGAGGGGAAAGGACAGAGGUAGACCGUCCUCCCCCACCUCCCCCUAAUACAGAGGGAUUCCUGGGACUGGAAAACAAAGAAUACCCCCGUAAAAAGAAGACAGGACUUCUGCUGCACGGUAAUAAAGGGGAAAAUAACGCUCAAUGUCGGGAGACUCUGCUCCUCACAGCUCAUAUCUGUGUGGAGUAGAAGUUAAGUAUUAAAUUUGGACUCAGUUGAAUGUGGGCACCGACAGUGGUCACCAAUUCCUGGGACAGGUUGUGUGAAGCCCUUCAGGGGUUCCUGAGCACUGUUUCGGAUAAAUCUCUAGUUCAAUUUAUUCCUAUCCGUUAGGUAUUGAAAAACAACAGACAAUCGCAAAAACAAGUUGACCUUUUUGUGUUCCUUAAGCCCAGUCAUGAAGUGCCCUCAUGACUGGGCUUCACGACAAACCACUUGUAACAAGUAACAACAGACCUCGGGUCCCAGACCCACUGAAGCUUCACGCGACCUCUCCUCACCUGUGCAUGGAUGAGUGUCCGGCUCCAGAACCCAGGCUGCCGCGUCCCAGUCUGGGGGUGAAUCCUCCAUAGUCUGCUGAGUGUAAAUAUAUAUAUAUAUAUCUGUUCCCUUCUCCCCUUCCCAUUGUAAUUUGCGUAUUACAUCAUUUGCGUAUUUUAUCUGCAUUACCGUUUAUGUGAGAUAAAGCUUGUUCACCCUUAAGGAUAUUGUGCGUGUCUUUUCUUCUUCCCUAGUGCAUUUUUCUCACAGAACAAUGUGCAACCAGAGGUCCUUACUGCUGCUGGCUUACUCUUUCCAAGCAUUAAUUUCCUUUUUUCUUUUCUUUUGAGAUGGAGUUUUGCUCUUUUUGCCCAGGCUGAAGUGCAAUGG